UUCCUCCUCAUCGUGGCCUGGUCCUUGGGCCGAGGAAACUUCAGCUUCAUUCCUGAAAACCCACCCAAGGCUGUGUCAGAAGGGCUGAGCUCAUGCGUGGAGAGCCUGUAAGGAGGUCCCUGCCAGGUGCCUGACCACCCCAGACCCUUGGACAACAUGAGUGGAGGUUCCAGAUGCAUGCUGCAUGAGAUCUCCCCAGCUGGACAUUGGACCAGGGCAGCCACAUGUAACUGGACCCCUAUCCAGAGUGGCCUUGAUCAGGGGUGGGCAGCUGAUGACAUCAGAUUCUCUUCUCAUCUGGUCCUGAGGGGCUCUGCGUGUGGUCUGAUGAUGGAUAGCCACUUGGGCAAGGACCUGCCAAACCUGCCCUGGCUGAGGCGUGAAUCCAGGUGUCUGUCACAGACAUGUGUGCAUCAGUGAGCCGAGGACUAAGCAGGACAUACAUACCUUCCAGGUCAGCCAGCAGAGUCCUGGCUCCUGUGACCGUCACUGUGGCAGCCUGGACAGACGAGGAAGCCUGGGUCAGGGCGGCUCUGGCUUCCUGGUGCAGCUGGAGAGAGAAGAGAGGCUGGGCAUAUGGGGCUGGAGGUGUGCUGAGCACAGUCGGCGCUCGAGGGCACCAAACCCACACAUACAAGGUCCCAAAACAUCACCCAAAUUCUGACACUGAAUUACGCUGUUUACCAGGAACACCUGAUUGGUUUUGCUAUACAAAUAUUAAAUAUCUCUCCCAAAUAUUGAGUAUCUCUCCCAAGAAGUUACCACAAAAGCUCAGAGGAAAAGUGGAACAUAAGAACUAAAGGAAAGGUGGACAACUGAAAAUUUCUUUCUGAAUGCUGCUGUAUCUCAGCCAGAGGACAGGAAAUAACGAAAUCUGUUUAGUAAACAACGUUUACUCAUAGAAAAUUAGUUUCUUCCCCACUGCCACUAAAUAAAGCUGGAAACUUAAAGAACAUGGGUUUGAUGGAUGAACGGAUACACAAAAUGUGAUGUAUCCACACCAUGGAAUAUUAUUCAAUCACAAAAAGGAAUGAAGUGCUGAUAUAUACACAAUGUGGAUAAACCUUGAAAAUAUUAUGGUUCUUGUCCCUUCUCUCCAGAGGCUGAGCUGCACCUCAGGCAAGACUAGGAUCCUAUAACUCAUCACUGAUCCGGCCUCUGACAUUCUGCCCUGCCCCAAAGAACAUCAGGACUCAAGGGAAUGAGCCGGAUCUGGAACCAGCGACCUCUGGCCUGGCCCUGUCAGCUCCAGGAGGCCAAACCAAGCUCCUAACCACACCUGGGAGGUCUUACCUGU